GUUGCUUCUCAGCCUUUUGGCUAAGAUCAAGUGUAAUAUCUGUUCUUAUCAGUUUAAAACAUAUGCCGCUGUUCCAAUGCCCACAUUCUUUCUAAUACUUCCACUUUUUUAGACAAUAAGAACUCCAGAAGACUCAGAUGAUUCACUGUUCCUCAUAUUUUAAAAACUUUUUAAAUUUUGAAGCAAUCGCAGACUUUUU